rnacentral:rRNA from 1 species
UACAGAGGGUGCGAGCGUUAAUCGGAAUUACUGGGCGUAAAGCGUGCGUAGACGGUAGCGUAAGUCAGAUGUGAAAGCCCCGGGCUCAACCUGGGAAUUGCAUUUGAGACUGCUCUGCUCGGGUGCGGAAGAGGGAAGCGGAAUUUCCGGUGUAGCGGUGAAAUGCGUAGAUAUCGGAAGGAACACCGGUGGCGAAGGCGGGUCUCUGGGCCCGAUACUGACGCUGAGGAGCGAAAGCGUGGGGAGCGAACAGG